CACCGCCCGUCACACCAUGAGAGUCGAAGACGCCCGAAGCCAGCGUGCUAACCCGCAAGGGAGGCAGCUGUCGAAGGUGGGGUCGGCGAUUGGGGUG
rnacentral:rRNA from 1 species